CCUACGGGUGGCAGCAGUGGGGAAUAUUGGACAAUGGGCGAAAGCCUGAUCCAGCCAUGCCGCGUGUGUGAAGAAGGCCUUCGGGUUGUAAAGCACUUUCAGUGGGGAAGAAAGCCUUGGGGCUAAUACCCUCGAGGAAGGACAUCACCCACAGAAGAAGCACCGGCUAACUCCGUGCCAGCAGCCGCGGUAAUAUGGAGGGUGCGAGCGUUAAUCGGAAUUACUGGGCGUAAAGCGCGCGUAGGCGGUCUGAUAAGCCGGUUGUGAAAGCCCCGGGCUCAACCUGGGAACGGCAUCCGGAACUGUCAGGCUAGAGUGCAGGAGAGGAAGGUAGAAUUCCCGGUGUAGCGGUGAAAUGCGUAGAGAUCGGGAGGAAUACCAGUGGCGAAGGCGGCCUUCUGGACUGACACUGACGCUGAGGUGCGAAAGCGUGGGUAGCAAACAGGAUUAGAUACCCGAGUAGUC
rnacentral:rRNA from 1 species